UGGAGUUUUGCUCUGUUGUCCAGGCUGGACUGCAGUGGCAUGAUCUGAACUCACUGCAACCUCCGCCUCCUGGGUUCAAGUAAUUUUCCUGCCUCAGCCUCCCUAGCAGCUGGGAUUACAGGUGCGUACCACCAUGCCCAGCUACUUUUUGUAUUUUUAUUAGAGAUGGGGUUUCACUAUAUUGACCAGGCUGGUCUUGAACUCCUGACCUCAGGUGAUCCACCCACGUCGGCCUCCCAAAGUGCUGGGAAUUACAGGAGUAAGCCACCACGCCCCUGGCAUUUUUAGAAAGAAAGUACACAAAUAGGCUGGGCACGGGGGCUCACGCCUGUAAGCUUAGCACUUUGGGAGGCUUAGGCAGGCGAAUCAUGAAGUCAGGAAAUCUAGUCCAUCCUGGCCAACAUGGUGAAACAUUGUGUCUCCUAAAAAUACAAAAAUUGGUUGGGCGUGAUGGCACGUUCCUGUAAUUCCAGCUACCCGGGAGGCUGAGGCAGGAGAAUCGCUUGAACCAGGGAGUUGGAGGUUGCAGUGAGCCGAGAUCACACCACUGUACUCCAGCCUGGCGACACAGUGAGACUCCGUCUCAAAAAAAAAGGGGGGGGGGGUGGGGGAAGAAAGUACACAAAUAGAUAUAAAGAUACAAAAACAAUCAAACAAGAGACUGCAACAAUACUGAGGCAGAGAGGCGGGUGCAGGGGAAGGUUGGCUUCCUCCAUGAGGCAAAAGCUAGGCCAGGUGUUGAGCCUGAAGAACUGAGUGGUAGAUGGAACACCGCAGUGAACGAUGCCACAGCUCCUGUGUGGAAUUAGAAAGGCAGCAACAGAAAGGCCAUCUGAAUCAUUGCCAUAGAUCAGGUUCCAAUAGAAGAAUCCAGCAGGAGAUCUCAGCUGGUGGCCAUGAGACGCCCACGCAAGCCAAGAGCAAGCUCCUUCCCAAGAUUCUGUCAAUGGUGAUACAGACAGUCCAGGACCCAGGCAAGAAAGAGGGCACUGACCAUGCUAAUGGGGUAUUUCUUGAGGUGAACAUGGGAUGGACUUCUAUGUGGUCCAUUUUGGUAGGGAAGAGGGUCUGAAAAAUAUAUGCCACUGGCUUUGGGUUAUUGAUGGGAUGUCUCGGCAAGACAGGCCAAAUGGAUUAGGGAUUAGGGGAGUUGAACCUUUGUCCUGUUUAGUCUUUGCUUAUAUUAUUACCUUUCUUCUAGGUGAAUUUUGGGAACAUAAGGAAUACAAGUUGAGUAUCCCGAAUCUGAAAAUCUGAAAUGCUCCAAAAUCUGAAACGUUUUGCCACUCAAAGAAAAUGCUCAUUUUGAGACAGAAGAUCAGUAGGACUUGUUUUCACAACCUUGCUGAUCAAACAGGAUGUAGCAAAGAAAUCAGCCCAAACCAGCUAGGACCAGGAAUUAUAAUGCAUUUGCAUGCUAUAAGACACUCGCCAGUGCCAUGACAAUUUGCGAAUACCGUGGCAAUGCCUGGAAGUUAUCCUAUAUAGUUUUGGGCACUCCCUGCCCCUUUUCCAGAAAGUUCCUG
rnacentral:lncRNA from 13 species